rnacentral:rRNA from 1 species
GACGAACGCUGGCGGCGUGCUUAACACAUGCAAGUCGAACGGAAAGGCCCUGCUUGCAGGGUACUCGAGUGGCGAACGGGUGAGUAACACGUGGGUGAUCUGCCCUGCACUUCGGGAUAAGCUUGGGAAACUGGGUCUAAUACCGGAUAGGAGCCAUCUUUAGUGUGGUGGUUGGAAAGUUUUUUCGGUGUAGGGUGAGCUCGCGGCCUAUCAGCUUGUUGGUGGGGUAAUGGCCUACCAAGGCGGCGACGGGUAGCCGGCCUGAGAGGGUGUACGGCCACAUUGGGACUGAGAUACGGCCCAGACUCCUACGGGAGGCAGCAGUGGGGAAUAUUGCACAAUGGGCGCAAGCCUGAUGCAGCGACGCCGCGUGGGGGAUGAAGGCCUUCGGGUUGUAAACUCCUUUCGCUAGGGACGAAGCUUUUUUGUGACGGUACCUAGAGAAGAAGCACCGGCUAACUACGUG